rnacentral:tRNA from 1 species
GACGCAGUGGCACAGUUGGUAGUGCUGUUGCCUCACAGCAAGAAGGUUGCUGGUUCGAGCCUUGUCUGGGUCA